rnacentral:lncRNA from 1 species
AAGGCUGUCAAGUUUAGAGCUAAUGUGGUACAAUUUGAUGGAGGUGUCUGCACAACCCUUGGGAUUUUUACCUCAUUGCACUGCUGUGUGGCUUUUCUGAAAAACAAAGUGGAUGGAGACUCUCCAGCAAAGUCGCAAAGUCGUGGUCUGUGGUGGCUGAUGCGUCUGAACUGACUGAUAAAAAAUGCGUGUUCAAGGUGACAAGCACUCAAGUCUGUAAGGAGGAGUUAAAGCUGCUGAAACACCAAGAUGAAAAGAAACUGUGGAAGAAAGUAGAACUGGAUGAAAGCAGAAGCCUUCUGGAUGAUUCUUGUGAAUUCACAAGAAGCAGAGAUUUGGGAAAAGCUGACCAGGAGAAAAAGCAUGCCCAGCUCUGGAAGGGCUUCUGGCCAUGCUGCCCUUUCGAUUGCACUGAGGAAUGCACUGAAGUCCUACCUGUCCUGGAGAUCCAAGGAACCUCUAGGGAUAUAGCUGAUCAACCUGGCAAUGGAAGGGAAAGCUGUCUGUGCUGCCAUCUGGGAGAGAAGGUAUUGCUACUGUAUCAUGAGCAUCCAUUGUCCCUAGGGCAGUUUUGCAGCCAUUUUGGUUCUGCGGAUGCACAGACCUUGGAAAAUUUAAAUAAUCUUAUCAGAAAGACUUCAUGAAGCAUCACUGUUCUGCCCAGGGAGAGAAUGUUAGAAGUGAGAGGACGUGAUGGUGCAUUUCUGCAGGGAAGUCGGAACAGGAUGUGGUAACAAGAUCAGCAUGUACACACUAUAACAGGGAAUUGCCUCAGAUGGAAGAAUUUUUGAAUUACAGAUACAGGUGCUGUAGGACUGCAAAUUCUACAGCAAAAAAUGCUCUUGAGCACUGGAGGUGCUGUGCACAAAACCACUGCCUCUCACUCGUAGUUUAUGCCUGUGGCUUCGUGAAAUCUGAGCCAGGAAAAAGGAGCCAUUGAUCUCACCUGUGCUGAGUUAUCUCUGGCAGGUCCAACAUGUAAAACAGCAGCUAAUCCUUCUGAUGAUACUUAAGUAUCUCAGGGGCACAGUGGGGAGGAAAAAGCAGCUCUGGGUUUCCAAGGCUCUCAGAGAUCAACACCUACUCCAGUAUAAAAAUGUUUGAAUUGCCUUUACCAUUACUUAAUUUCCAUGCUUACAGGAAUAUAGUGUUUUUCUUUAGCCUCUUGUUUCAAAAAGUGCUAUGUUAUCUUUGACCUAUCCAGUGACAUUUACCAUAGAAAAAUCCUGAAAACACUUUUUAUCUUGCACAUAGUACAAUGAUGGGACACAAACUUACUUCAUAAGCUAAUGGACAAUAGGGAGACAUUUUAAACAAAAUCUUGGAAGCCUGCCCUUUAUAUUACUUAAUUUUUUAGACAUUACACAUUUAAGGGCUGGGCUUUCAAGGGCUAAUAAAAGUUAUUUCCUGGUAUUUAGCUCAACAAAUUAAACUUAAGCUAUUUAGUUUAGCUGCAGGAUGUCAAAUUCCCCAGUUGAAAAUAUUGUUAGGUAUCUAGAUUUAAACCUUUAUAUAUACUAAAGUAAAAUAAAAAGUGAAUGCCAAUAAAUAGUAUAACUGGUGACACUGUUACAACCACCCACAGGAGUCUAUCAGGAGCACUUGUUCUUUACAAAUGCCUUCUCUUUCUGCAGGAAUCUACUGGCAUGUGUGGGGAUAACAUUCCAACACUUCUCAUGCUGUUCUGCAAGCUGUGUAUUUUAUGAGAAGCCACUAACACUGGAGCCAGGGGGAGAGGGAAGGAGUAGCAACAUCUGGGAAGACAUGUCUCUAACCACAUCUGUCUCGCAGCCAAGGCCAGUGACCCUGAGCUCUGGAAGGGAAAGUUCCAAACAUUCACUCAUUAUCAGCUACUAUGCCAAAACAAAGACCUGUGCUUCAGCAGUCUGGGGAAAGAAGAUAAUCCAGGAGUAACUUCCCAAGAACUUCACUACUUAAGAGAUUUAUUUUUCACCCACAAGGUAACACAGGCAAGUGCUACUGCAAGGAAAGCAUCA